UGGCCUGGCGCUGCCUCUGGGUCCGUGCUGCUCGCUGUGCUGCCAGGCUGGGGGAGCUGGGGCUGUGGCCAGGCUGGAGCCUGCAGGGCUGAGACUGCACUGAGCACUUUGGCUGCCUCACAAGGGCUCCAGACUUGGGGGUUAUUGUCUUGCUCCGUUUGGUGCUGCAAGAUUGGGUGCUCACAGCUUGGACUUGCAUUGGAGGGCUAUGUACUUUUUGAGCAAUAACAUAGAAGGCUGACAGAAAAGUAUUUUUCAGUGUUCUCCGUGAUGGGAACUGUAGAAAUAAGUGAUCUCUGACUCUGCAUUCUGUGCCUUCUAGUUUCUGGUUGUUUUGGUAUCUGCUUUCUGGCUUUUUGUUGUUGUAGGAGUGGCCCUGUUAAUUUCUUAAAUAUUGUUGCUGCCUUCUGUUUGUUUGGUUUUCUAUUGCAAACUCUCAAAUGUUUUUCUUUCAGUUUCUGCCAUACUCAUGUUUAUGUUAUAUUUUAGAAGGCUAUCUUGUUUUACUCCAUUCUAAACUCCCUGUGCAGGAGGUGGAACUUUGAGGUAGACCUGGCUGUGGAAUAGCCCUGGCUUUGUGUGCCCUUUAGAUGCUGUGGAAAGGGAUUUUGGUUUGAAAAUCCUUCCCUGCUGCUUGUGUUCUGCACUGGGGAUGAGCUGAGAGCUGUGUGUGUGCUGUAUGGUGGAGCUGCAGCAGCAGCAGAGCCUGAGCUGGUGUCUUGGCAGCAGGAGAGUGCUGGUACCCAAAACAGCUGGGGUGGUACCUGUUGGAAACCCCUCCUUUGCUGGUCUUUGGGGGCGAUUUGCUCACAGCUGUGCAGCUGCACAAGUCAGGGUCAGUCCCUCGCAGCCUGCUGGGAGAGCAGCUGAGUGCUUGUCCUGAUUUCCAGCCCCCUUCCAGCCGGCUCUUGGCAUCCCGAGGGCAGGCUAAGGAUGCCUGUCAGUGGGUGCUGGGGUCACUGGUAACUCUCAGAGCAUCCCCAGCUCCAUGCCGAGCUCCAGGGUGCGUGUCCUGCUCACCAGCAGCCCCUGGGGUGUACUGAGUGACAGCUGAGUAUCAGCUGCAGAGCAAAGUCCUCUUUGAAGUAUAAAUGAGGAGCAAGACCUGAAGCAGAUGCACAAGAAAGCAGCAACACGUUAUUGUGCAUCCAUGUACUUGUAAAAUUUAAAGCUCUGAUUUGCUGAAGAUAACUGCAGCAGUAACAGUACAGGCAGCACAGAGGGUGGAGGUUUCCUCCAAGGUGGAGUUUUUCUUUAGCAAAAAUCCAGCACUUUUUUCUUUUUAGCAAAUAGUUUUACAAUUCUCGCAAAAGAGCUUCUGUUAAGAGCUGGUACAGUGUCUAGCCUUCCCUAAGAAAGAUGCUCAGGGGUUUAUCUUCUAGAUUAUCUUUUUUUUUCUCCCUUUUGAUUAAGUGUUAUCACUGACAACAAGAGCACAUGGAACACAAGGAGGUAGUAGUGGCAAAGUGCAUUAUAAUUACACCUUCCUUUUAAUGUGGCUUUAAAGCAGUAGAGUUGGUGUUUUGCAGCUUGUCAGGCUUCCACAAAUCAUCAGUGUAUCAGUGUGAGGUUUUAAAAGGACUUAGUUCCUGUUUUAUUUCUUAUUUGAAAAUGAAAUUAUGCAAUGUGGGUAGGAUACCGUAGGAAGAAAGCUUUACACACAGGUCUGAUAGUUUUUUGGCUUGGUCAAGCACUAGGGCAUAUUUUAAAGGUUUUGCUCCUGUUCCAAGGUUCUCAUCAUCAAUUUUCCUACCACAAAAUUUGAUUUCAAAGAUACAGAAUACGAGUCAAACCCUCAGAUUUUAUGAUUUGCAUAAAAAGCUGAUCUGGUUUUUACUUACUAUUACUCUCUUUCCCCUUUUCUAUUAUUUAUUUAGUCAUACCGUUUGUAUAUUCUACCCCUGUGAAUGUGUUUUCUCUUUUUGCCUCAGACACUUUUUUUCCCUUUCUGGUGCCAUGUGUACUCCCCUCCUUCUGGAAGCUCUUGCCUUACUCCUCAUUUCUGAUUUCAAGGGAGUCCUUUGAAGGAGUCUUUUUGGUUUGUAGUUUUGUGGGUGCCUUGUACGCCAUCAGGAAGGGGAGUGUGGCUGCCCUGUGAGUGAGCACACACUUUUCUCUGCUGAAGAGGAGAUCCCACCGGGUUAAACCCACUUUCCUCUCCACUAUGGGCAUGCCAUGCCUUGUUGUCUGAGUGGGAAGAGGAAAUCCAGUGACUGAACUGCCUUGGAAGGCAAACUGGAUUUAAGUGUGGCUCUGGAAGGUGUCUCUUCCACCACCCUGCAGAAGAUCAGCCACUCUGGCUGUAGCUUUGCCUUGUCCUCUGCCCCUAAACUCUUACCUUAAAUUGGAGGGAAAAAAAGGAAAAAGGCAGCCAGUGUGACAGCAAGCCAGUUGUUGCUUUUAGGAUGUGGAAGCUCCCAAAAUACAUCUGUGUUAGUGUAGGUUAAUACUUCAUUUGACAUUCUCUAACCAUCUUUCAUUCUCUUUGUGAAGAAUAGGAGGUGGUCUUGGGAAAACAGAACCUUCUGACUUCAGUGGCUGCUUGAAUGACCUAUCAGAGUCCUUUAGCAUCCUUUUGGCAUCCGUAUUACUGAAGUGGCAUCUCUUCUUGCUGAAAUUCCCAUGGAAAUAGGUUGUUUUUCAUAAUGUGGAGUAGUCAUAUUAAGCACAGUAAUCAUCAUUCUGGGGAAGAGUGAGUAUUAAAAGUAAAAUGUUACUUUGGUUUCUUGUCUUCCAAUGGUGUGUAGUAGUUAUUCAACACUCUUAGCACUACUCUCAGUAUUAGUACAUCACUGUAAAAUGUAAAUAUUUUAUUUAAUCACUUUAAUUUCUAAUGCUUUUCCUAUUAUUGGCAAAACUUGAAGUUAAAGCAGGUAUUGAAGCAAACAAAAGUGUUCAUUGUUCUUAUAUGAUAUUUGAAGUCAGAUAUAAUUGAUGGUUUUCAUUUAUGUCUUCAAGUUGUUAAGCACUCAUCUUCGUGAGUCAGUCAGCUGUAACAAAUGAUAUCCUUGAAAGCAGAACAUUAAAGCUAAGGAAAGCAGUUAACCUGUGGUGUUGUCACAGGUUUUGUUCUCUGGUGGUACCGUAGGGUCAGUUCCAGCAGCUCCUGGGGGUGUGACUGUCACUGACACCUGGGUGUUUAUUACCCUGCAGCGCAGCUCAGACCUCUGGGCUGUGGUUUAUGGGACCCAUGGCUCUGGGAUGUGGUUACAAGUGCCAGGCUGCAACAUGGAGAGCUUUCCUUUCGUUUGUGGCUGUGACUGGAAGGAUUUUCGCUUCAGCUUUUGAUUUGUCUGCAGUAAAACAGCUGCUGAUCUUUCCUUGUACUGUUUCCCAGUUGAUUAAAAGCUCUCCCACCUGUAUUCCUUGCCUGCUGUUCCUGCCUCUUUUGUCUCAUCUUUUCCCUGGUUUCACCUUGGCUUGCUUUCUAAUACUGUUCACAGCGAGAAGCUCUAGUCAGGAGAGGCUUUAAUGUCACACAGAGUUGUAGCAGAGGCAGAAAGGAGAUGAUGGGUGCCAUGGGGUGUGUGGGGCUGCCUGCCCUGGGCAGAGGCUGGCCAGGGGCUCUGCUCAGCCAGAGCUUUUGGAUAACGUGUGGGUAAAGGAGAAGAAAUCCUCACCUCUCACACACAAGCUUUUUUCAAAGACAAACACAUGUUUUGGCUUUUGCCCACUUCCUGCAUCUAUGCUGCAGGCUGCAGUCAGCCGGCCAGCCCCGGGCCAGGCUCUGCACCAAUGUGCCCCCCACGCUCUGUGCCCCCCACGCUCUGUGCCCCCCACGCUCUGGGCUCUGCUCUGGGCUCCACUCUCAGCCCCCCAUGCCCUGGCCUUGCCUGCUCCUUGCAGGUCCCUGACAGCUCCAGCAGCACUGGAUGUGUGGCAUUUGCUUAUAUCCUGCUGUGCUCGGUCUUUGAAAGCCAGAAGGAAAAGGUGUUGUUUGGGCUGAUUUGCAUCUGGAAGCCAUGCACUGUUCCUCUUAGACGUGCCCAGGGACAGUGUACCGAAUGGCACUGGAAUGAGGCGGUUUGGAGGUUUUCCCUUGCAACACAAACCGUCAUGUUAAAUUAGGCUCAAAUUUGGAACCCGUAGUGUUGGACUGCAGCUCACAGUGUGGGAGACCAGCAGCCACCACAGUUCAGACAGUGACUGUGUGCCUGUGUUGUGCAGCAAGUGCCCUGGACUGUCCCACCCUCAAAACAGCCUGGAGAAAAAAUAACUGCCUUCAGGGCAAAAGGAGUGUUCCAGGAGGAGUGCUGGUUCCUGGUGGGAAUGCUGGGCUAGGCUCUGGAAAUCAGGGCUCGGUUUGCAUUCAGCAUCAGUAUCCUGUGUGACCCAGAGCAAGUGGCAGCAGGUCCCCUGCCAGCUGUCCCUCUGACAGAGGCAUUCCCAUGCUUGGGACAGGCUGCGGGCCCUGCCCUAAAUGGGAGGGUUUUGGAAAGAUGCUCUGGAGGUUCUGAUGUUGAAGCUGGAGCAGUGGAGGGCUGUGAUGGCACUCUGCAGCCAGAGCUGUGUGCAAACGGGAGCUGUCAGGGGAGCUGGACUGUGUGGGCCAUGAAAGACAGCCAGGGUAUGGCUUGUUCCUCCAGCUUCAGCUCAGGAAAGGCAGAGGAGCACCUCAUGUGGGUGCAGCGCUGCCUGUACAGGCAUGCUCCACCCUGGGCUGCUGGAGAAGCUCCUGGCCAAACAAAGGCUCAGAUAAUCUGAGCUGUGUGAGCUUUCUGCUUAACCAGGGCUCUUGGCUUGCACAAGCUCAAAGCAGAUCCAGCUCUCGUUGGUUAUGGGAGUAAGUACAAGCAGGGAAAGCUGCUCCGUGUGAGUCUGCGCUUUGGUGAGGCUGGCAGACAGUGUUUACAGGAUGUGGAGAACGUCACCUUCUCUAGAACGUUCACCCGUGGUGCGAGGCCUCGCUCGGGCGCAGGAGUGGCCGAUCACAGGCUCUGGGUACCAUGGGAACACGCAGGAUCCAAAACCUGUUUGUUGUGCUCCGCCUGAGGUAGAGCUGCCUCUACAUGUUCACUCCUCACUUCCCAUUUCCCACUGCAUUCUUGAAAAGAAUUUUUUAUUGUCUUGGAAUGCUUGAAUGUGUUGGCAGGGCACUGCAUAUUAAUGGCUGGGCUCCUUGGAGCACCUCUGUACCAGGCUGGUGGCACUGCAGUGGGUGAACAGUAGAGGCACACGGGCAUUGGGAGCAGGACCUAAUUCUGAAUUCUUUCAUUGAAGCUUUUAAAGUGAUGUGGUGGGAGCUUGUUUUGAAGCUUUUUGUUUUCCUGGUGUGGCAAACUCUCUAAGUUUAGAGGCUUUGCCAAUCCUUUUGGAAAAACAAAACUAGUUUUCCUGUAGGAACAGCUCAGAACUGUAUGGUAAACUCUGUGUGUCAAGUGAAUACGAAAAGAAAUGGUACAAAAAUCACUUAAAGCUGUGCUCAUCAAGCACCAUCAGCCAGCAUUGGCUCUGUUUUAAUUACUUCAGAAUUUUUAUUUAAUUUGUGCUUUUCUCAGACUCUGGGCACAGAAGACCUUUCUGUGCACUUUUGGGCAGACAGCUGUCAUUGGGUCCAGCACUGCAGCAGAUUUGCACAGAGAAGGUUCCCUUUGACAAAAUUAUAGGCUCUUUGUGUCCCUGACCUGACCAUUCAAAAUGUUUUUAAAAACCAUCUAUUCAAAGUGAAAGUUUUGAUCUACAAUUCCUAUUGUGCUUUUUGUUGGAGGAAGAAAUUGAAAAAAUGUUUGGGUAUUUUUAAUAUUUAUUUUUAACUUCAAAUGCUGCCAGGCACAUGAAGAAGUCAAGAACUGGGUGGGACAAUAUGAUAGGUCCAGCCCACACACUUCAGAGAACUGGAUGUGACUCAAAAAUCUUCUGCUAAAACAAGUUUAUUUUCAUGAACUGGCAGUGUUGUUUUUGUGGGCUGGGAUCACAGGCUUGAUCCUGGCUUCACUGUUCACCAGGCUCUGAAGCCAGUUCUCAUUUGUCUUGUGGGACAGCCUUUUAGCAAAAAGGAAGAAACCCUUUUCAGCUGUCCUUAUUAAAUAUUAAAGUAUUUAUUUAUGACCAUU